UACGUAGGGUCCAAGCGUUAUCCGGAAUUACUGGGCGUAAAGCGUGCGCAGGCGGCGCGUUAAGUCAGGUGUGAAAGCCCCGAGCUUAACUUGGGAAUUGCGGUUGUGACUGGCGUGCUGGAGUGUGGCAGAGGGAGGUGGAAUUCCACGUGUAGCAGUGAAAUGCGUAGAGAUGUGGAGGAACACCGAUGGCGAAGGCAGCCUCCUGGGCCAGCACUGACGCUCAUGCACGAAAGCGUGGGGAGCAAACAGG
rnacentral:rRNA from 1 species